rnacentral:tRNA from 1 species
AGAGACUUAGGUUAACAAAAGACCAAAGGCCUUCAAAGCCCUAAGCGGAAGUGAAAAUCUACCAGUCCCUG